GUGCUUGCUUCAUCAGCACAUACACUAAAACUGAAAUGAUACAGAGAAGAUUAGCAUGGCCCCUGAACAAGGAUGACACGCAAAUUUGUGAGGUGUUCCAUAUAUAA